rfam:Postia placenta Mad-698-R POSPLscaffold_76_Cont3924, whole genome shotgun sequence.
GCAUUAAUGGGGUAGUGGUAACCUGGGUCGUUGCCAUACUAUCUCGACCCGCCGGGGGUUCGAUUCCCCCUUAAUGCA